AAUAUACUCCCUCCGUUCGGAAUUACUUGUCGUAGAAAUGGAUGUAUCUAGACGUAUUUUAGUUUUAGAUACAUCCAUUUCCGAGACAAGUAAUUCCGAACGGAGGGAGUACUUU
rnacentral:pre_miRNA from 1 species